rnacentral:tRNA from 1 species
GGGCGGGUGGCGAAAUUGGUAGACGCACUACCUUGAGGUGGUAGCGGCCGCAAGGCUUUAAGGGUUCAAAUCCCUUCCCGCCCACCA